rnacentral:rRNA from 1 species
GCUUGUCUCAAAGAUUAAGCCAUGCAUGUCUAAGUAUAAACACCUUUAUACUGUGAAACUGCGUACAGCUCAUUAAAUCAGUAAUAAUUUAUUUGAUGGUGACUUACUACAUGGAUAACCGUAGUAAUUCUAGAGCUAAUACAUGCAUCAAUCCUCUAUUUGAGGUGUAUUUAUUAGAUUGUAACCAAAGCGGGGUAACCCGGUAUAUGGUGAUUCAUAAUAACUUUCGGAUCGAUUUUAAUCGAUGCAUCAUUCAAGUUUCUGCCCUAUCAGCUUUGGAUGGUAGGGUAUUGGCCUACCAUGGCUUUAACGGGUAACGGAGAAUUAGGGUUCGAUUCCGGAGAGGGAGCCUGAGAAAUGGCUACCACAUCCAAGGAAGGCAGCAGG